rnacentral:lncRNA from 1 species
GGCAACCCGCUGAGGUCAAGCUUCGUUUUUUUUGCUUUUUACAAUAAGUGUUGCUACUGCUCAGUCUUUGAGUCCACGCUACUUUUAUGAGCUGUAACACUCACUACAAAGGUCUGCAGCUUCACUCUUGAAGCCAGCGAGACCACUGAGCUCACCGGGAGGAACAAACAACUCCGGACGCACUGUCUUAAGAGCUAUAACACCGCCAAGGUCUGCAUCUUCACUUCUGAGCCAGCGAGACCACGAACCCACCAGAAGGAAGAAACUCGGAACACAUCUGAAUAUCAGAAGGAACAGACUCCAGACGCGCCACCUCAAGAGCUGUAACACUCACGGCGAGGGUCCGCGGCUUCAUUCUUGAGGGCAAAAUCUUUUUCCCUUGAAGACUGGAAAUAUUAUCCAUGUUGUCCUCCGGAAUAUUUUCAAUGACUUGUGCCCUGCCAGCUCUAGCUUUUGAAGGGUCUACACUCAUCAUCAACAGGCUGGAAAAAUGAAUGGCUUUCUAGGAGGCAUACUGUUCAACUCACCUUUACAACUUUCAAUCACUGUGGCUGAAAUAGAGUCAUGAAAGACAAGAUGUUGAUAAUACUUACAAGAGAAAGAAGAAAUAAAAUCCCUACUUUACGUCUACUUCCUGUAACCAGAUCUGAAAACCUCAGUGACCUCUGUGGAUUAAGCUGUAUUUAUAAUUGUGGAAAUUAGACACGGUGAUGAAACACUGGUUCUUCCAUUUUCCAGAGGCUGUUUUAACACCACAUGAGUGGGGUGUCUAAUUUUUCUGACCUUUGGUUAUUUUAUUCAUACAAGCCAUGCUCACCAAAUGCCUUACUGUGUUAACUAGAAUGGCUUCAGUUAAAUAGCAACAGUGGAGAAAAAAAUAAAUUAAUGCCUCUUCUCAGCAGUGACCUGACAUUACACUUCCUGCCUUUUCUAAACUCUCCUGUAAAAUAUAUACAAUAUUAAAAUUUAAAAUCCUGACAUUUAUAAUUCUUCUAGUAAUUUGUUUCUUUC